rnacentral:tRNA from 1 species
CCCUGGUUAGCUGAAUUGGUAGAGCGCUUCACCUGAAAUGGAGAGGUCCCGGGUUUCAUACCCGGACCACGCG